UCCUUCUCCUGGUGUCCAUUUCUGGAACUGCUAUUUGUAUAUUGCAUGAUAUUUUAUCACGAAAAAAAAUAAAACAGAUCUAAUUUCAUGAAAAUGCUGUUGCCAUAAUGCUCAGGAGAACAGGGGGAAGAGAGAGAUUCAAGUCUUCCUAAUGUCUACCUUAUAUGCAGAGCCUUGGAAAGAUGGGCAAAUGCUCUGUGACAAGCCACCAGGGCAGACUGGUACUGGGAAGACCCUACUAUACAUUUGGCUCUGUCCCUGGCUGGAAAGUUACAAGUCAGUCUACCUCUCUGUGGUCCAGUUUCCACACCUACUACUCUUUAUCCCAUGAGGAACUUCUGGAAACUAAAAAAGCAGCUGCCCAGGUAGAACAGGUUGACCAAAGCACACAUCACCAACACAGACUGUUAAUCACGUGACUAGAUAAAACUCUCACAGUGUCAUUCAAAUUUCCAUAUCCUUCUUCUAUGGAAAUUUCUGAGAGACCCAGAAAAGGAGCGUAACCAUGAGGGAAAGUGAAUCCUGCACACUUGAAUAUUCCAGACUUACCAGGUGAUCCAGCUGUCCAUCAGUGGGAAGAGGCUGAGGCGCCCCCUUCUGGUGCAUCUGAAUAGGAAUAAACUCUGGGUAGAAAGAAAUCCUGUAGCAACUGGGUACCUUCUCUGUGAUUUGUCCACUUCCAAUAUCAAAAUUGUUGCUUUUUAAAUGACAUCCACCCUAAGUUAAAAAAAAAAACAUAUUAUUUGUAUAAAAUGUGGAAGACACAGAACAAAAAAUGUAAAUCACAUAUCAUCAUCCCUCCCAGAAAUAAUCAUUAUUAAAAUUUCUGUGCGUGUGUAAAA